rnacentral:rRNA from 1 species
AUACGGAGGAUGCGAGCGUUAUCCGGAUUUAUUGGGUUUAAAGGGAGCGUAGGCGGGAGCUUAAGUCAGCGGUUAAAUGGUGCGGCUCAACCGUGCCCUGCCGUUGAAACUGGGUUUCUUGAGAGUGCAAGAGGCGAUGGAAUUCAUGGUGUAGCGGUGAAAUGCUUAGAUAUCAUGAAGAACUCCGAUUGCGAAGGCAGUCCGCUGGGGCACGUCUGACGCUGAUGCUCGAAGGUGCGGGAAUCAAACAGGAUUAGAUACCCUGGUAGUCCGCACGGUAAACGAUGAUUACCCGCUGUCGGCGGUAGACAGUCGGCGGCCAAGCGAAAGCGAUAAGUAAUCCACCUGGGGAGUACGCCGGCAACGGUGAAACUCAAAUGAAUUGACGGGG